rnacentral:lncRNA from 8 species
UGUUGUUGGCAAUGCACUACCUCCAGCUCUCCCUCGUGGGCCUGCUGACUGUCUGCAAUACCAGAUGCCAGAUUAGACUGUCUAGAUUAUCACUUCUCUCCUCCUGCUUGUGGCCAUUUUGUGGCCAUUCUUCUUCCCCAAGGACAAAGAAAGGAAUUGGUUCCCCACCUCAGCUGUGGUUCACUCAAUUUUUCUCUCACUUUUAGAAUAAUGUAGAUUGGAUAUAAUGUAACUAUAGCCGAUUCUGAUUAUAGUAUUUGCCACUGUCCUGAAAAAAUGCAUUAACUGUGCUGCAGCGUUGAGGUGUGCAUGUGUGCUAGGGGAUGGGGGGGCCAAUGUAUCCAGUACAAUUGGAGUGUGUAUAUAGUCCAACACUCAAGGUCUUGAACUUAAUAGGGAUGUAAUUGCAAAUCACUACUCCCCUUCCUACCACUAGAACUGCUAAAACUUCUGCUAAAACUAUUCUAAAGUGAAUACACUUGCAAGGAGUUACAAAUCAUUCCUUCCCCUCCAUCCCCUCAGUAUAUUUAGUUAAUUAACUCAGAGGAAAAGUACUUAACAAGAGCAGGGGAGGGAGGAAAGAGAACAGGGGAGAGUUGUGGCAGUGCUGCUCACCAGAACCCAGCGGAACCAUCCAUCAUAAUGACAUGUAGGCUGGGAUCAAUAUGAGCCUUGUGGUUGCCGGAGGGAUUGCCUAGUGCCAUAGGAACAGUUUUACUCAGCACACUCAAGACACACACACACACACGUACACACACACAAUAAACACAUACUAUAUUACACACACACUAUGGAGGUCUCUAUGGCUUGCAGUACUCUGCACAAGUGAGGAGGUUGUUUCUGCUGAUUCUGUGAACAAGGGAACACUCCAUCUGGAUUUAAAUGACCUGGUAUAUCUGACCCCUAUACACACAUUUUAAGUAAUGGGGCCAACUUAUUGUAAACAUCAAGAUCUACAAAUAUAUUUCACUUCUGUUUUUUAAAUGCAUUUCUUUAUUUGUUUGUUUACUAAGGCAUGACCUUUUGCACAUCUACUGUGUGUUCGUUUUUUCACCUACAUCUGAUGAUAAUGUAGGCUAAUGAGUCACGGUAUGAUUUAAGGAUUUAUUUGAUCCUUUCUCCAUUGUCUGUUAAAAGUCCCUUUCAGACCAAAGCCUUGAAUAUCAAUCCUUCUACACUGAAUUAAAGAAAGAUGAUUUGCCAAUGUGUACACUGAUCUUGCUGAAAUAAAACGUCAAAAUUCCCCUGUGUAUAUAAGCAGUUUGUGUGUUUUUGUACAAUGAAAAGUGCCAGUUUCCUACCUUGUGUAGUCAAGGGACUAGUUUCUUCCAUUGAUGAAGAGGAAUUGAUGAAUGCCAUACAGAAGGAAACACUACCCAAACCACAUGGUCUGUCUAUGCGCUGUUGCACCGUAUAAUUCAUCAUCUUUUCACAUUGACACAA